rnacentral:rRNA from 1 species
CCUACGGGUGGCAGCAGUGGGGAAUAUUGCACAAUGGGGGAAACCCUGAUGCAGCGACGCCGCGUGAGUGAAGAAGUAUUUCGGUAUGUAAAGCUUUAUUAGCAGGGAAGAAAAAACACGGUACCUGACCAAGAAGCCUCGGCUAACUACGUGACCGCAGCCUCGGUAAUACGUAGGGGGCACGCGUUAUCCGGAUUUACUGGGUGUAACGGGAGCGUAGACGGAGAAGCAAGUCUGAAGUGAAAGCCCGUGGCUUAACCACGGGACUGCUUUGGAAACUGUUUGACUAGAGUGCUAGAGAGGUAAGUGGAAUGCCUGGUGUAGCGGUGAAAUGCGUAGAUAUUAGGAAGAACACCAGUGGCGAAGGCGGCUUACUGGACAGUAACUGACGUUGAGGCUCGAAAGCGUGGGGAGCAAACAGGAUUAGAUACCCCUGUAGUC